CGGGACCAAAACCCCACAGGGUGCUCUGCCCCCCACCCCGCAGUGGAGUUUCACUACUCAAGUGCCUUAAGUCUAUGUAAGGGGGUCCUGGGGGGCUCUGGCCCCAGCACUGGGGGGAUCUGGGGUGCUCCCCCCGCACAAGGGGCUCUGGGACCCUUCUGCCCCCUCCCAAAGCUGGGAUGGGGUCCAACACUACUUGCCCCAGAGAGGGGGGGGUGAAAGGGCCCCCUCCAGUCAUGGCCUCCCGGGUGGGGUGUAGCCCCCACCCCUCUUCCCAGGGAGGCUGGGGGAUACUCCCUGCCCCCUCUGUGUGGGACCUGGGGGACUCCGCAGCUGACCCCCUUUACUGCAGCUCCCGGGGGGCAGGGGAGGGGAGGACCCCGGCCUGGUGGGACCCCCGGGAGGGCGGGACAGGACCCCCGUCCCCCAUUUGUGGGAGUGUCGCGUGUCGUGUCCCCCGCCACCCCAUUUGUGGGGCUCCUUCCCCUGCUCUGUACCGAGAAAUAAAUUAUUGAACCGGCCCUGCGUCUGCCCCGUUCCCUGUGCGCCUCGGAGCCCCCUGCGCCCCCCCACCCCCCGCUCCCCCCUUCCCCGUGGCCCCCCCCCCCCCCCCCCCGCCCCCCCCCCCCCCCCCGUUGCCAUGGCGACGCCCCCGGCCCCGCGCCGUUGCCAUGGCGGCCCCGCCCCGCGCGGUCACGUGAGCUGCCGGACGCGCCCGCCAUGCUGCGCCCGCCCGGGCCCGCCCCGGGCUCGUGGCUCUGCUGAUCGCCUCUGCUCCUGUCCCCCAUGGGCUCACCAGGUGGGUGUGGGGGACCCCCCCGGGCCUGUGACCCACCCCUCGUGCCCCUGGCUCUGGGGACCCCAUUUGGACCCUUCCCCCCGGGCUGUGGGACCCCCUUGGAGCACCUUCAUCCGUGGGACCCCCCUCGGGCACCCCCCGGGUUCUGGGGAGGGGAUGCUGGGGACACCCCAACCCUCGCCCCCACCCCCAGGGGUCAUGGCGUGGUGACACCCCCGGGGUGUCCUAGAUUCGGGGGACUUGGACAGGUUUGACCCUUGAGGUGGCAGCCUGGGGGGGUGAAUGUCCCCAGGGGGGCAGGGGGCUCUGGGACCCCUCAGAACCCUCCUGGGUGCCAUGUCCGGGCUCUGGGCAAUCUGGGGGCGUCCCUAAGUGCCCAGACUCUGAGGGUUUUGGGGAGAUCACGUUCAGAUUCUACCGGGUUUUGGGGUGACCCACAGUCCCCAGACUCUGGGGUCUUGAAGUGUCCAUGCCCAGU
rnacentral:lncRNA from 1 species